rnacentral:rRNA from 1 species
ACAUGUUAAAACUUUCAACAACGGAUCUCUUGGCUCUCGCAUCGAUGAAGAACGCAGCGAAAUGCGAUAAGUAAUGUGAAUUGCAGAAUUCAGUGAAUCAUCGAAUCU